GACUGCGUUAGUUUAGCACCUAAACGGCGAAACUGCGAAUGGCUCAUUAAAUCAGUUAUCGUAUAUUUGAUAGUACCUACUACAUGGAUACCCGUGGUAAUUCUAGAGCUAAUACAUGCUUAAAAUCCCGACUUCGGAAGGGAUGUAUUUAUUAGAUUAAAAACCAAUGCCCUUCGGGGCUCACUGGUGAUUCAUAAUAACUUCUCGAAUCGCAUGGCCUUGUGCCGGCGAUGGUUCAUUCAAAUUUCUGCCCUAUCAACUUUCGACGGCUGGGUCUUGGCCAGCCGUGGUUACAACGGGUAACGGAGGGUUAGGGCUUGACCCCGGAGAAGGAGCCUGAGAAACGGCUACUACAUCCAAGGAAGGCAGCAGGCGCGCAAAUUACCCAAUCCCGACUCGGGGAGGUAGUGACAAUAAAUACUGAUACAGGGCUCUUUUGGGUCUUGUAAUUGGAAUGAGUACAAUUUAAAUCCCUUAACGAGGAACAAUUGGAGGGCAAGUCUGGUGCCAGCAGCCGCGGUAAUUCCAGCUCCAAUAGCGUAUAUUAAAGUUGUUGCAGUUAAAAAGCUCGUAGUUGAACCUUGGGCCUGGCUGGCCGGUCUGCCUCACCGCAUGCACUGGUCCGGCCGGGCCUUUCCCUCUGGGGAUCCGCAUGCCCUUCACUGGGUGUGUCGGGGAACCAGGACUUUUACUGUGAAAAAAUUAAAGUGUUCAAAGCAGGCAUAUGCUCGAAUACAUUAGCAUGGAAUAAUAAAAUAGGACGUCGCGGGUCUAUUUUGUUGGGUUCUAGGACCGCCGUAAUGAUUAAUAGGGACAGUCGGGGG
rnacentral:rRNA from 1 species